rnacentral:rRNA from 1 species
GAUGAACGCUGGCGGCGUGCCUAAUACAUGCAAGUCGAGCGAACAGACGAGGAGCUUGCUCCUCUGACGUUAGCGGCGGACGGGUGAGUAACACGUGGAUAACCUACCUAUAAGACUGGGAUAACUUCGGGAAACCGGAGCUAAUACCGGAUAAUAUAUUGAACCGCAUGGUUCAAUAGUGAAAGACGGUUUUGCUGUCACUUAUAGAUGGAUCCGCGCCGCAUUAGCUAGUUGGUAAGGUAACGGCUUACCAAGGCAACGAUGCGUAGCCGACCUGAGAGGGUGAUCGGCCACACGGGAACGUAGACACGGUCCAGACUCCUACGGGAGGCAGCAGUAGGGAAUCGUCCGCAAUGGGCGAAAGCUUGACGGAGCAACGCCGCGUGAGUGAUGAAGGUCUUCGGAUCGUAAAACUCUGUUAUUAGGGAAGAACAAAUGUGUAAGUAACUAUGCACGUCUUGACGGUACCUAAUCAGAAAGCCACGGCUAACUACGUG